rnacentral:rRNA from 1 species
GAUGAACGCUGGCGGCGUGCCUAAUACAUGCAAGUCGAGCGAACAGACGAGGAGCUUGCUCCUUCGACGUUAGCGGCGGACGGGUGAGUAACACGUAGGUAACCUACCUAUAAGACUGGGAUAACUUCGGGAAACCGGAGCUAAUACCGGAUAAUAUUUCGAACCGCAUGGUUCGAUAGUGAAAGAUGGCUUUGCUAUCACUUAUAGAUGGACCUGCGCCGUAUUAGCUAGUUGGUAAGGUAACGGCUUACCAAGGCAACGAUACGUAGCCGACCUGAGAGGGCGAUCGGCCACACUGGAACUGAGACACGGUCCAGACUCCUACGGGAGGCAGCAGUAGGGAAUCUUCCGCAAUGGGCGAAAGCCUGACGGAGCAACGCCGCGUGAGUGAUGAAGGUCUUCGGAUCGUAAAACUCUGUUAUUAGGGAAGAACAAACGUGUAAGUAACUGUGCACGUCUUGACGGUACCUAAUCAGAAAGCCACGGCUAACUACGUG